rnacentral:rRNA from 1 species
GACGAACGCUGGCGGCGUGCUUAACACAUGCAAGUCGAACGGAAAGGCCCUGCUUUUGUGGGGUGCUCGAGUGGCGAACGGGUGAGUAACACGUGAGUAACCUGCCCUUGACUUUGGGAUAACUUCAGGAAACUGGGGCUAAUACCGGAUAGGAGCUCCUGCUGCAUGGUGGGGGUUGGAAAGUUUCGGCGGUUGGGGAUGGACUCGCGGCUUAUCAGCUUGUUGGUGGGGUAGUGGCUUACCAAGGCUUUGACGGGUAGCCGGCCUGAGAGGGUGACCGGCCCCCUUGGGACUGGGAUACGGCCCGGACUCCUACCGGAGGGAAGAGGGGGGAAUGGUGCAUUAUGGGCGGAAGGCUGAUGCAGCAACGCCGCGUGCGGGAUGACGGCCUUCGGGUUGUAAACCGCUUUCGCCUGUGACGAAGCGUGAGUGACGGUAAUGGGUAAAGAAGCACCGGCUAACUACGUG